CUGGGUGUAGCUCAGUGGUAGAAUAUAUGCUUAGCAAGCAUGAAGCCCUGGGUUCUAUCCCCAGCACCAGGG
rnacentral:tRNA from 1 species